CACAACUCCUUGGUGGGGGGACAGCCGACCGGUCUCACUCCCGGGCCUCCCUGCGCCAGUCGGGGCCCCAGUUCACCAGCCUCCUUGGGGACCCAGAUUCCCAUUUCUACGAGUCUUUGUCCCGAGCCCCGUGGAGGGAGAGAUAGGUGUCAGUGGAAACCUAGAGGUGAGGGAACCCCUGUCCGAGCUCCGAAGGGCAGGAGCGGGUAGGGAGGUCUGCAGAGCCUGGGAUGCCUCUCAGUCCCUCUUACUCCCCGCGAGAAAUCGGGUUCCCUGAACGCCUCUUGGGUGCUCCAGAGGAGGCUCGGACUGGGCACCAGGCGCACUUUCUCCAGCUCCUCGCCCACCAGUUUGCAAAACCUGUUGGUAGCCCAGGGGUGGAGCUGGGGGCGCUGGGGAGGUCCCAGACGAGUCCUCGACCGCCCUGUCCCGCCCCCACUCUGGCCCACGCGGGAAAACCCACGGACACAGGCUCAGACGUGCUAAUUCCUGUUUGAUAACAUUCUGCGUCGCCCCCCUGUUUGUUUUUAUUGUGCCAGAAAGCGAGAGAAUUUCAGAAUUAAAGCUGAAAAAGCCCAUCUGUUUCCAAUGAAUCCCCCAUAGUUUUUCACAAUGUUUUUGGCAGAUCGCUGCUUUCAAAUUCCUCCGAGCCCGGACCUCUUGUUUUUGUUGGGGGAAGGGAGACCAACUCCACAGAGAAGCGUUUGUUCCUUCCCAAACGCUCCGGUUUCUUUACUUUUUUCCCCUUUGGGGGGAGGGGGAAUGAACGAAGCUUAAAUCCCCGGUCUGUUUUCUUUAUAAUGUUUCGUAAAAUUUUUAUUUCAUGCUGCUCAGAGUCAGAGAAGGCCAGUUAAACGCCUUUCACCCGUUUCUCUCUUUUUUAAAUACAAAUAAACAGUGUCACGACCAAAUGGUCCUCUGUGUAAGGCGGGAUCUCCUGGCCGUUUCCAUUGUGUUGUGGGGUUCAGAAGUGUCUUUGAGCAAAAAAAACUCCAGCCUGUCUCACAGCGCGGCCAGAUGUGGUUGUGCCGCCUCUGCGCAGCUGAGAUUUGCAAGAAAGAACUUGAGUUAGGACAGAGAUUGAGUUGUUUUGAUUUCCUCUUCAGCCAACUGAGUUUCAAGGAACUAACAGAACAGGGCAGUCAGUCCAGGGUAGGCCUGGUUGCAAGUUGGCAUUCCCAGGGAGCACAGAACAGAGACAACAAGCACUAUUGGGCUCUUUCCUGAAGAGAUAGAUCCCUUGCACCGGAGCAGAAAGGAGGAGGGGUGUCAGCAUCUUCCGAGAGCCUCCAUAUCCAAUAAACCAUGGAAAUAUCAGAACCACAGAGUUCCAGCAGGAGGGAUGACCCCCCACCCCCAACUCUCAUGUUUUUGAGACCCAAGUUUCUCCAUCUACAUCAGUAGGAUGCUCAGCCUUCCUACUGCCCUGACCCUUUACUCUGCUUCCUCAUGGUAUGGGUGAUCCUCUAACCAUAAGGUUAUUUUCGUUACUACUUCAUAACCAUAUUUUUGUUAUGAAUUGUGAUGUAAGUAUCUGUGUUUCCUGAUGGUCUUAGGCCACCCCUGUGGAAGGAUAGCUGGACCCCAGAGGGGUCGAGACCCACAGGUUGAGAACCGCUUAUCUAAAUGUCCUAUUAAAAAAAAAAAACAAAACUGAUCUUAUUCCUUCCCAAAGAGUUAAAAUAAUAAAGUACAAACCAUUGGAAAGUAAAAAAGAAUGUCAAAGAAGCAGUAGCUUGCACUUGUGUUCAUCUUGGUUUGGUCUGGAUAAAGAUCCAGCCCAUUGGAAGUUUUAUCAGAUAGGUUGAUAAAUGGCUUUUGUCCUUUGGCUGCAUUGGGGGAUGUGAUCUCAGCUCUGAGCUGAAAUUGAGAAGGGGGGCUCCCAGGGCUCUUAAAACAACACCUCCUGCUCUUAAAGCUACAGCACUCAUUAUUCUCUGAGGCUAGAGGGCAAGGAAAGGAGAGAGCUUGCAAGGGCUAGGAGGGCUCAGGGGCGGGGUGUGAUAUCUUCCUGUUCAUUUCUUUGUCUUAAAAACUUAUCUGCAUAGUCGGAGGCACACUGAUGGGCUAUAUAAUUCACAACUCAAAUUCCGCCACUUUCGCGUCCAAGAAACCCAUUUCUUUUUGGCUUCAAGGCUGGUAACCAAAUCCUGGCAGAUGCAGCUGAUAGCUGAGUUGUGUCUUGCCAACUGGCUAAGGUUGCCCCUUCUGGGAAGCCUUUGACAGUUGCAUCUGGUCAAAACUGCCUACCUUUGUGAAAACUGAGCUGCCGGUCACCAAGGACCAAAUACACUGAGGCCGGCCUUGAGGAAUGUGGGUGCUCAGGAAACCUGGAUCAGAAAGACAGUUUCCGACGUGGGGAAGAGCUAGAUGUGUAAUUUCCAGUGCAGAGAUGGACUGUCAUGCUCUGACAUGUUGGUCCAGCAAACAGGAUGCCCCAGAAUAAAGAGGUGAAACAGCCUCUGGUUCUGGUAGGCAGUGAGUGGACAUUCGGGACAAAAAGAAAGCCGUGGCCUCACCCCCCCAAAACAGGUGGAAACUGGCCGAGCAGCCCUGUGAAAGCCUAGGUUUGUUCAGAGCUUGCCUACUUGAAUGGCUGCCAGCUGUAAGCAGGGGUGCAAAUUAAAUUGGACAUAGUUAUGUGAAGAAAGAUGCCUUCACUCUGCCAGACUGAGAGUGUUUGUGUGUUUUGAGUGUUUACGUGUACUUACUCAACAUCAGUAGCUGACUUCCCAAGUCCCUGCCUCAGUACAGCCUUCAUUUUUUUUAAAGAUAUAUUUAUUUACUUUAUGUAUAUGAGUACACUGUAGCUGUCUUCAGCUACACCAGAAGAGGGCAUCCAUUACAGAUAGCUGUGAGCCACCAUAUGGUCGCUGGGAAUUGAACUCAGGACCCUCUGGAAGAGCAGUCAGUGCUCUUAACCACUGAGCCAUCUCUCCAGCCCUCAGUACAGCCUUCUGAUGGAGGCCUUCAGCUUGUUGAAGAGAGAAUGGCUGAAGGAGUGAAUACUGUUCUGGGAUAGAGGAUGGGGCAGUCGCUGCAUCUACCCGAGGUGGGGGUGGGGCAAGAGGAGAGGCCGGAAAAAACUUCUUAAAAGAGUUCUCCACAAAUAGCAUCUCCUUCAGCACACAGUAAAUAGAUACAUUUUAAGCUGUGAGACCAUUGUGACUUAUUCAAACAGACUUCUAAGCUAAACCCAUCCAAGGCCUGGGGGGGGGGGGGCGGGGGGCGUGCCUGAUGGCAUGCUUUAUUUGAGGGCUAGUUCUAAGAGAGCUUCAAUGCAGCCUCUCUUGUUUCUUUCCCUAAUAGGUUUUUUUUAAAUCUUCAUUUACUUUUAUUUGUGUGUAUGUGUGUAUAUCUGCAUGUUUGCAUGUGUGCCACAUGUAUGCAGUGCUCAGAGAGGCCAGAAGAGAACAUGAGUGCCACAAGAACAGGAGUUACUUGGUUUUGUGAACUGCCCUGUGUGGGUGCUGGGAACUGAUCCCGGUCCUCUGCUACUGAUCCCGGUCCUCUGCUAGAGCGGCAAGUGCUCCUAACUGCUCAGCCUGCCCUUUAGCCCACCCCUUAGGCCUUUGAACUCUACCUGUUGUAGAAGUAUUAGUUUUCAAGUGCAGAAACUGAGGCUUAGAGAAACUAAGGUUCACUCAAGUAUCUAAAUAUAUGUGCACGGCCAUAGAGAUGAGACCGUUUCUAUCAGAACUGCUAUUUAAGAAUGUGUAACUUGAGCUGGGCGCACGCCUUUAAUCCCAGCACUUGGGAGGCAGAGGGAUUUCUGAGUUCGAGGCCAGCCUGGUCUACAGACUGGGUUCCAGGACAGCCAGGACUGCACAGAGAACCCUGUCUUGGGGAAAAAACAAGCACAAAACAAAAACAAACAAAAGGGAAGAAUGUAACUUGUAAGCCUGCUUCUUAGAUAUAGUUAUUGGGCCUCUUAGUUGGAUUUUGGGUUCCAAAAGGAGUUUCCGUUGCUAUCACAAAAUACCGUAGAUUUAGAGGGUUACAGACAACAGAAAUUUGUUGAUUAUAGCUGUGGAGGCUAGAAAAUCAGAGACUGGGGAACCAGCCACUGUAGAAUCUGGUGAGAGGACCUUUCUAGUCUGAGUGUCUUGUGCCUUGUUACUAGGUCCCUCCAAGGCAGAAAGGAAUGGAAAACUGGCUUUCUGGGCUCCGUUCCAUGAGGGCUCUACUCCCAUGAUAUUAACACUUCCAAAAGUCCUGGAUCCUGUUCAUAAUACCAUCGCUUUGAGGAUUAGAUUUUAGCCUAUGAGUUGGUGGGGGAGUGGGGGGAGUGCAGAAGAGGGGAGAAAAGGAUGUUCAGUUACAAGAGGUAGGUAGGUGACUAGCAGCCAGGGAGUAGCGAGCAGAGAGUACAGAUAACUCCUAGAGUCCCCAUGGCCCCUUAGGCUCCGAGGGUGACCUGGAGAGAAAAGGGGAAGUUCUCUGGUUUUCUGGGGAAGGGGAGUCUCUGGAAGGUUGGAAGAAUUUCUAGUAGUCACCCUGCUGCCCAAAAGAGGGGUUGUCCAGAAAGUGGAAGGGUAAGGGAAGCUACCCAGUGUCACAAGUAAGGCUGAGAUGGGAGAGAGGAGACGGGGGUCUGAAGAGGCAAGAGUAAGGUUGAGGACCUGUUCAUGUGUUGGAAGGGACUGUAGUUCCCGCUAAAGGUCCUGCCUUUCCCAGACUGUGCAAGGCCUGUUUUCCAGCUUCAGUACCAGCCUAGUGCUGUACUAUUUUGCCACUGGGCUGAGAUGUACCCUGAAGGCUUUAUUUUCCUUGAAUGGCCCACUCAUCCAAUUUGCCCAAGAUUUUCCAAGUUUUCAAACUGAAAGUCAGGACUCUCCACAUGUCUCCUGGGUCCCAGGCACACCAGGAUGUGGGCUCCCUGGUUGCAUCCCCACCCCACCUGGAUCUGGGACCCCGUUGCCCAAGAACAUGAAGUCUUCCCUGCAAAACGGUCUCCAUGUAGUCCUAUGGCCUAGAGCUUGGAGUCCUCUGCCUUUUUCUGCACUUUUCUGUUGCCACGUUGUAACCACCGGGGCUGCCUUGGUAUCUUACUCCAAUCCCAUCCCUGAUGGACCACACUCAGAAUCUGGAGGUCCUUGUUUGCAGCGUCCAGGAGGGGCAUCUCUGAUUUCUAGACCAAACCUCAUUCCGAAAGGAUCCAGCACAUCCCAGCCCCUUCCUCUUCAUAUUCUACCCCCUUUCCCCAUGGGAUGCUCUAUGCCUUGUCUUGUGCCACCCAGUUCUGGGUUGAACACUCACAUCCCCUGUCCCUGCCUACUUGACCAAAUUCUAAAUUCAAUGCAUGCAGUCCAUGUAGACUUUUGGUUCCCAAGGCUCAUGGGUCUUGGGUUUCUGUCUUCUCAGCCUCUAAUUCUAUAUGUUAAGGAUGGGAGCCUAUUUUCUGCCCUUUUCUUCCCUCCUCCCCCACACUCCCAAGCUUGUUCAUCAUAGUCCUGGAAGCUACAAAGCCAUUAGGGUUUUUUUUUUGGGGGGGGGGUUAAUUUCUUUUGAUUCUGGCUUUUGUUUCCACAGGACUACCUCUGGCCUAAACACCCCAUAUCUCCCCCAAAUACUGUUUCUGAUUAUAAAAGCAGUAGACAUUUUAAAAAGCCAAAGACCAAAAAAGAUUUUUUUAAAAGCACUCAAAAAGUUGUCCUCUCACCAACUCCUAGUUAGCAUUUAACAGUGUCCUUCCAAACAUAGUACCUUCACACUUUCCCAGAUACGGCUGCGGGGAGGAGAAUAAUAAUCUUAAGAGUUCUUCAGUGGAUUGCAUGGCCACAGAGAACCAAGAGCUUCCAGUCGCCCAGUUAAUUUGACUGAGUGUCCUCAGGAACCAUCAUUCCUGAUGAGGAGGCAGAGCUGGAGGAGGCGUUACACACAGCCAGUUACCCAGCAGUGCCCAGUGGCAGAUGCCAGACUCCUGCCCUUUGCAGAUUUUGGAUAAACACGGUUGUUAAAUUUGCUGUAUAGCCUGUUGAAGCUCUGCUGUUGAGCUGGUGAGCCUUAAGAUGUGGGUUGGGGGAAGGGAAUGCUGGGGCAAGAAAGAACUGUGGGACUGUGAUCCUGGGCAACCGUAUGAAGAGUGGCCUCCCAGUUCCCACAGUGCAUUGCAGUGCUUUCUCAGCCCCCAAAGGCCUUUCCUGUCCUUUCUGGUCCUCUAACUUUGGUUUCCAAGAUGGAAACCUGGUCAGGGGGACAAGGCUGAGAGCAAAAGGGAGCUUUGGGGCACUGUCACGGGGCAGGGAGACAUGCCAGCAGGGGUUCAGUGAUGACUCCUGACCUGUUUCACUCAUGCUAGGACACCUAGACACUUACUACAGGGCCAUUCUACAUAGAAAGGAGUUCAGCGUUGUGCCUCCCACCUGGAUACCAGCCUGGCAUGCGCUCUUCCAGUACCUGCAGACUGCAGGGAGGGAGACAGUGUGCCUCUGUGGUGGGUUUUUGUUUCUUUUUUUCUUUUCUUCUCCUCAGAGGUGUUUUGACCUGCCGCUGAGCACAAAAGCCUAGAUGGCUGGAAGCAAAGUCCUGACUAUAAAGCUGUCACCUCAGGUGUGAGCCUGGAGUUAGUAACAGGGGUCAUGCUUCAACCAGAACCACCACAGCUCUCACCUGCAGCUUCAUUGUCCUGGGAAAACCUUUCUUACCUCCCUUACCACUCGUGCCCAGGGCUGUUUUAUUUCUCCCCCAAAGCAGGAUGUUCCUGGGGUGAGGACCUUGUCCCUUUGCUUGACCCCCUAUGGGCCCGUUACCCAGGCGUGCUCUCAGCCUUCGGUUGAUAGGCAGCCUAUGCCCUCCCACUAUAGGGCGGAGUCAGGGCUUUCCACGCCCACCCUUCUUGCUCAAGCGCUGUUUCUCCACGGCUCCUGUGGGAGCUGGGGAGGGUGGCCUGUUUGGAAAGCUGAGGUGUGCCCUUCUCCUUGGCAGUCAGUCAUCAAGGGUGCUUGCAACAACUUGGCAUGUGUGGAGGCUGAGGCAGGGCAGCCUUGGCAGGGUGUGACGGAGGAGGCAGUACUGUCCUGCCCCCGGCUCUAGGAGUGGCACUUAGCCACUUCUGUCCACGCUGGGUAGGCAGUGAGUUCACCCUCCAGGGCCCGGCCCCCCAACAAUUUUGCCUUCUCUUCCUGGGUCACCUGAGGUUUUCCCCAAAGCUCCCUUUUGCUCUCAGCCUUGUCCCCCUGACCAGACUCGGAAGGAAGCACGUACAAUUCCCAGUAGAGCUAACGGGUGGGAAACACAUUGCCAUAAAGUGGCGGUUCUGGGGCCCUUAGGCUGCCUGGCCCUGGAAUGUCACCCAGGAGCGGUGAUCCCUUCUAGGAUCUGCAGUGAUAGAUUAAGUGAGGCAGGCUACGCAGCACCUGGGAAAAAAUCCAGUCUGCUGGGUGUGUCCCUCUCAGGAUCUGGGGCCAAACACCUGGGUGUUUACGCCAGGAUGAUUGAGUGAAAUUCUUGCAGGAGCGGCGCCAACAGGGAGCCUCGGGCAUCUGUCCUUGUCCCGUAACACCCCCACUCCAUCCCCACGCCCACCAAGAUUCAUUACUGUGGGACUAGAAUAAGCAGGAGACCCCUACUUAGUGCCCUUCCCCUACCUCCUUCAGGAUGCUGAUGCGACCCGUUUCCAGAAUCCUAUCUAAGGUCUGCUUCCCGCACUAGGUGGACAGUGAGGAAAGGGACACGGAGACUUCAGACUUCAGGGUUGGCCCCUCCCCGAGGCAGGCAGACUUAUAGAAGAUUCCUUCCACCCGCCUGUGUCCUAACUGAAGCUAUUGCCUCUUAAGUCCUACUGUUCACUAAGAUAGAGCACCGGUGCUGGGGCUGCCUGCCGCUGGGGCUUUCUUUCGGAGCUCGUCACUGGCUGAGGUCAUCUUGCAGGUGCUUCAUUCCUAGGCUUGCCAGGAAGGUGAACUCCCCUCCCCCUCCCAAGGGCGGUUCCACCGAGGGAGCUAAGCUUGGGAACCGUAAGGUUCCAAAAGGCCGAGGCACACAGCAGGACACCGCUUACACUUCAGAGUGCCAAGUGACAAAGGGAACAGAAAGAGCUUGCUGAGCUUACAGUACCUCAGAGCCACUCACAUGCAAAGAAGCUAGAGGCCGGAGGAGAGCAGAAGGGUGGUGGGAACGCCAGCAGUGGCGACUCCAGGGACACCUUUCCUUUUUCAUCUAGUGCCCCCUGGUGGCAGAAUCUAUCAGGAUGCCAGCCGAUUAGCGGGCGUGGGGGCUGGGAGGGGGACGGGACGAUUCCUGUUGCACCGGCAAAGGGCAGUGAUUUGAAGUUGGGCAAUAGCUGCCUCUUGAGAGUCUUCACUGAUAAGGCCAUGCCUCCAUCCAGACUUAGAUGAAACAUUCCAGAAUUCGUUAAGGCCAGCCCCACCUAAGCACAGAGUGUGUUCCGAGAACGGCGUCCAUCACAGUUCCCAGCGCACAUCAGGAGCCAGAUCUCCGAGCAAGUAAAUCAGUUCAGACAGUCGCUGUGCAGGCAGAGUUGGAAACGUCUUGACCCUGGAGCUUAUGUUCCAAGGGAUACUUACCUCUUUAAGAGAAGGCAAGGCUGUCUCCCUCCCGUAGUACCCUGCCCCUCCCCUAGGCCUCUGAAACCUGAUCUAAUCCCUUUGCACGCGGGUAAUUUAUUGGUCUAUUGGGCUUUUCUUGGUGGCAAAUUACAUUGUCUUUAUUCCUAGGCUCUGGCCCCGGAGUGCCUCGAGGAAUUCCUAAGACUCCUUUCUCAUGGUUGAUCCUUCACACCCCCUCUGGGCCCCGGCAAAAUAAGUUUUAUUGGGAUGCUUUGUCAUGCAAACAGGGUGGUAAUAAGCAGGCUAUUAUUCCGAAAGAUUGGGCUUGAUUAACAGCUCAAAGGAGGACUUGAGAACAAACGGAUCUGUUGCUGUACUAGCAGAGCAGAUUUUUUUUUCCUUAUCAUGCGGGUCCAUUUAGUAUUCUGAGAUCCUGCUUUGACUUUCUGCCUCCCAGAGGGGUUGCCAUCCACCGAAAAGUAAUGACAUCUGAGCCUGAGCCAUGUGGCUCAAUCCAAUUGGGAGGCACUGUGGAGCUCUACCUUUAAAAUGUGAGUGGCCAGCUAUGAGCGCAUACAUGCUCCCUGAACCCUGGAUACAUGGGAGACCCAGGGUUCCACCAGACAGAGUUGGACACAGGUGGGGUUGGGCGGGGCGCGGUGUACGCAUGACAUCUGAAGUCUCAAAAGAUGCUUUCAGUGUGAGUGCUGUUCUCGGAACACACUCUAUGCUUAGGCGGGGCUAGCCUUACAAAUUCUGGAAUGUUGCAUGAUGGUAUCAGCAAAGAUUAUCAAGAGGUGCAAUUCACCGGGUAGUGUGAGAGUCAACAGGGACCCAAGAAGCUUCCUCAGCCCCACAGUGAUUAGAAAUAGAAGAACUGAGUGAGAGAAAGACAGAAUCAAGAUGAGGAGGGCCUGUUUAUGGGAGAUUGAUGGACCGAUGCGGGAAAGAUGUGUCCUGUAGCCACCUUCCUGAGGCCCUGAAUGAAGCUGGCCAGGUUACUCAAGGCUCCCAGAGGAGCAGCUGCCAGAGAAGGUAGCACGGAGAAGGAAGCCUGGGGCACCUCUGUGUAUAUCAGAUACCGAAAGUGGGGUGGGGCCAUUACAUUUUAGCCUAGAUCUGGGGGGUUCUACAGGAGGGCACGGAAAGAACUCCCCGAGAAGCAGCUGGAAGCAUCCGGGACAGGAAGCACCCUUUCUGCCCUAGCGAUUUUAGGACAUGUUCAGGGGGUUCCUGUGGGUGAGUCCAGACAGGGCCACCGUUUCUGCAGGCCUAUGGACUCUCUUGGUCCAGAUAUCAUUCUCAAGAUUAUAGCUGAAGAUUGGAGGGUUAAUGAUAGUUCAAGACAAACAGUGCCUUCGGCUGAGCUUGUGAAGGGGGCCAAGAUCCGUGAGGCACCUUUGUACUUAGAUGAGGUAAUUCUCCAGGUCCCAGGUCGUGAGAGUCAAAGGGGACCCCAGGAGGUUCCUCAGCCCCAGAAUGAUUAGAAAUAGAAAAACAGGGUUGCUGAAUGGCUCAGAAGGGUGAAGGGGCUUGCCACCAAUACUAACCACCUGAGUUAGUCCCACAACCCACGUGGUAGGAGACCGAUUCCUACAGGCUGUUCUCAAACCUCCACAUACGUGCUAUGGGAUAUACACGUGCACACAUCCAUGCCUGCAUAAUACACACACACACACACACACACAUGUAAAAAGUAUUUUUUUAAAAAAGAAAUAGGAAAGCCGGGCAAUGGUGGCGCAUGCCUUUAAUCUCAUCACAUGGGAGGCAGAGGCAGGUGGAUUUCUGAGUUUGAGGCCAGCCUGGUCUACAGAGUGAGUUCCAGGACAGCCAGGACUACACAGAGAAACCCUGUCUCGAAAAACCAAAAAAAAAAAACAAAAAACAAAAAAAAAAACAAAAAAACCAAACAAACAAACAAGGGGGGGGGGGAGGAAUGAAAGAAAGAAAGAAAGAAAGAAGGAAGGAAGGAAGGAAGGAAAGAAAGAAAGAAAGAAAGAAAGAAAGAAAGAAAGAAAGAAAGAAAGAAAGAAAGAAAGAGGAAAAUGUUUGAGAUUCUAAUCAUGUCCACUCUGGGCCUAUUGGCUAUCAAGUGAGGUGAAUGCCACUCUCUUGUGUGUAAUGCCCAGAAAAAGAGCGUUAGCCUGCCACUGUGGGGCAGUGAGCAUCCUCCUGCCAAGCAGAAAGCGUUCAGGGCUGGCUCUCCUUUGUUGGCACAAGCUGCUGUAACUGCUAUAAGAUGUGUCACACACUGGAGCAAUGUGUGCAUGAACACUGGCCUCAGAAGGCCCAGUUUACUGCCUGAAAUCCUUUAAACAAAAAAAGAAAGAGAAGGAAAGGAAAGGAAAGAAAAGGAAAGGAAAGGAAAGAAAAGAAAAGAAAAGAAAAGAAAAGAAAAGAAAAGAAAAGAAAAGAAAAGAAAAGAAAAGAAAAAUAUAUAGCACAUUAAAUAAACAAAACAAAACCAACCCGGCCUUUUGGGGAUUUCUGGUAGGGGGACCCUGCAGCUUUUGAUUUUGAUGCUGGGCCCGGUUGCCUAUAGGUUCCUGACCACUAAGCAGCCUGCAGUUGGUGGCUUAGUGCAGUGGACAUGGGGAGCAAGGUGAGGCCUCUGUAGAGUAGAGGGCAGGGGCCUCUCAACUUACGGCCUAUGAGGACAAUCCAGCCUUGGCAUCUCUGAGGUCCCUCCCCAAGGCCCUUAAGGAAGGACAGCUGUAUAUAUAUCACUUCAGACUGACAGACCACAGAGUCAGGUUACCAUCUGAAGAAGUAGCAGAGGGCACUCACUGGGCACAGCCACUUCUGGCCCCAACUUAUCACUGUCAGUAUCAUCUUGCAAACUGCUGCCUUGCUCUGAGCUGAGUUCCACAGUUCAGCCUUUUUCUGAAGUUCCAGUGAGGACCCACAGGGCUAGUUUAAGGUCUCAGAGCAAUGGGGAGGGCAGCAGGGAAUUCUCAAGAGUCAGAGAUAGGUCAUUUCUCAGCGGCAGCUGUGUCCAGCAGCCCUCCACAAGCCUUUCAGCUGGAGGCAUGGGACACAGAAUCAAUUUGUACUGUGACAGCAGAACCAGGCAGGGCCACAGACCUUAGCAUUUGGGACAUUGGGGAACUGACCAUCUCAGAUGGUUUCUUGGGGGAAAGGCUUGUAGUGAGUGCAUUGACAUGAGGCUGAAGAGACACCUCAGUAGAUAAAGUGCUUGCUGUGUGAACUUGAGAGCCUGAGCUCGCUUGGGCCCUAAGCACUCACUCAACAGUCAGGCACGGUAGCGCAGGUCCACAUGUCCACCCCAGACCCGGGAGCCUGAGAACAGGUCAAUCCUGAGGGCUUGCUGGUUAGCCAGUUCAGCCCUAACCACAAACUCUAGGUUCAGAGAGAGACCUUGUCUCAAAAAAAUAAGAUAGAGGCCCUGACAUCAACCUCUGUACAACACACACACACACACACACACACACACACACGAAUGUGGAUAGAGAGGGGCAAAACCUGCAUACCCCCACACAGAGAAAAAGAGAGAAAGAAAAGCUCAGAAGCAGUCCCAACACCAGUGCACAUCUAAGUGGCUUUGUGACUCAGGGCAGCUCCACCCCUCCCCCCAGGCCUCCCACUGGUAAAAUGAAGGUGAAAAUUCCUGCCCCCAGGGGAGUAGUGAAGGCCAGAGAUGAAAGCAGUUUGCUUUUGAGCGGGAACUGAGAGCUGUGGUUACAUCCCGCCUAUGUCAAGGAACUUAAGGAGAAAGCCAUUCCAGGCCUCUGCACCUUGUUGCCUGUCUGUUGAGGGGAACAUUAAGUCCUGAGAGCAUUGCAGAAUUAGAGGCAAUGUGCACACAUCUGGCGCGUGAUAGGUCUUCAGGUCACAUUAGUAGUGCUCAUGACAGUUAAACAAAGUUAACAGCACAAAAUUCUCUUUUAUGGGGCCACUUCCUUGAGUUCUGCAGGCUUUGCUUAGUCAGGACUUCUAGCCCUGCCCCACCUCAUUUCAUGAGUUUGGGGCUCAAGGAUACUUGCCCCAAACCCAAAAUGCCCCCCCCAGGCAUGGUCCCCAUUUUUUGAGACUAACUAGGUAUAUAGCCUGCAAUGCAAAUCUGUCACUUGCUGUUUGCUGACACUCAGUCUCCCCUGAGUCUCUCUGAGUGGAGAAAUUACAAGUGCUUCUCCCCCCACCCCACCCCACCCCACCCCACCCCCCAUUUUUCUUUCUUGCACAGAAUCCAAAGUUUCUUCAUUUGCUGCCUAGCAAGGACAAAAUAGACUGGACAAGUUCAGGAGCUAGCCCUUCGGACCAUUCCAUCCUCCAAGAAGUGUCUCGUGUGGGGGCGGGGUAAAGCAUUAACUGUGUGCCCCAAUCAGGCUGGGGCCUAGGUCACCCAAGCGGGAGGGGCAGGAGUCACCAGGCAGAGAGGCAAGAGCUUACUUACCACUUCUUGAUCAAUAAAUACCCUGGCUUUCUGCAGAGCCAAGGGAACCAU